rnacentral:lncRNA from 1 species
UUGUUCAAGAUAAAACAAUUCUUGUUCAAACAAAGAGGAAUUGUAUUCCUGAUCAGUUGGGGGAACUGAUCCCGUCAGAGCAGAGCAGUACUAAUUACCUAAGGAGUUGGUUCAAGAGAUGUUGGUCUAUGGACUCGUAGUUAGUCGACCUGUCUCUCCUCCACCUGGAGCGGAGGUAGAUAAGCCGUUCGUCCACCUUGUAGAAGAUCCUACGCAGCAGAUAGGCGACUAACCAGCACACAUGCCCGGCGGUGUUGAUGAGAGAGGGUCGUAGGCGAUUUUCCCUGCGCAUGGCCUGCGCCGCUUCCGGAUCACCGUCCGUCGUCGGAAGCACCCGUCACCACCAACGCCGUGCCGGCUGCCAUCAAAACUUGACCGCCCAGCCCAGCAGCUGUCAGCAGCGCCGCGUCGUCGUCGUCGUUCCCUCACCGUAUCCGCUCCCUUCCAGUCCCAGCGCGCGGCGCCUGGCGGCCAGUCGGACCUCGAUCGGUGCAAUAUAAAGGCGGCGUCUGCAUUGUGAGUAGCCUAAGUGCAUAUAUCGAAGAAUCGAAUCCUGAAUGGUCAGGUCCAGAGAAACAAUGAAUGGUCAGCCCUGAAUGAUCAAUUUUGCUCAAAAAAUAAAAAUGGAAGUUCGAAGUAGCUCGGCUCACUUUGUCUUUCUGGCAUAAUAAGGGAAGGGUAAUUAAACAAAUUUGGACAAUCGAUCUGAUCAGUUGGUAGCAUGUGUACAAGUGGCAGAAACUCAUCAUUCACCACCGAACAAAGAGGA